rnacentral:RNase_P_RNA from 1 species
GAUGGCAGAUGAUCGCUGGUGACUCUGAAAACUUUCGGGGUUGCUGGAGGAAAGUCCGAACACCAUACGGCAGCAUGCCGCGUACAACACGCGGGCAACAUUUGCGAAAGCGGAUGUUGACGGAAAGUGUCACAGAAAACACACCGCCGGUUCUUUGAGAAAAGCGCAGGCAAGGGUGAAAAGGCGAGGUAAGAGCUCACCGCUCGCGGAGUAAUUCGCGAGGCACGAAAAACCCCAUGCGGUGCAAGACAAAACAGAGGAAGGGCAGCCGGCCCGAUAAAAUCCUCGGGUAUCGUCGCACUACGUCCCGCGAUUGCGGGAUGGGCGCUCGUCCCGCACUGCGGGACGGGUGAGAUGAAUGAUCAUCCGUCCCGCGUCUGCGGGACCGACAGAAUUCGGCUUAUCGCCAUCCAAA